UACGAAGGGGGCUAGCGUUGUUCGGAAUCACUGGGCGUAAAGCGCACGUAGGCGGGUUCUUAAGUCAGGGGUGAAAUCCCGAGGCUCAACCUCGGAACUGCCUUUGAUACUGGGAAUCUUGAGUUCGGGAGAGGUGAGUGGAAUUGCGAGUGUAGAGGUGAAAUUCGUAGAUAUUCGCAAGAACACCAGUGGCGAAGGCGGCUCACUGGCCCGAUACUGACGCUGAGGUGCGAAAGCGUGGGGAGCAAACAGG
rnacentral:rRNA from 2 species